CCAAAAGACAAAAAGCUAGGGAAGGGCGGAGAGAACGCCGCGCCGGGGAGACCGACGGAUCGAGGAGGCGGGGAAAGUUUCCGGCACCGAAGGUACAUUCCUAGUUUCCCGACAAUUCGCCGUCCUCAGUUUCCUGGUGAGUUCUUUUGCUCUGCCAUAUAGUCGUUCCGUGCCACUAUAGUUUUACUAGAGCUUUUGAUUGCAUACAGGGAGGUUUGAUUUUGGGCGUCUAGAUCUGUGAGAGCUAAAUGGGAUUUGAUUCUGGUCGUAAUUUCUCUUUUGCGAGGUGCGAGGCAAGCGGGGAGAUUAUUUUGGGUGAAUUUUUCCAUUUGCUGAUUCAUGGCUGUAAGUCAAAUCCAGUUUUGGGGAUCACAUAUCGGGCAGAUUUUCCUAAGUUUCGUUGGUGAUUUUUGUGUUGUUCUAGCAGUAAGUACAGACUCUGAUGUGUAAUAUGUUGCUACUCCUACUUCAUUUGAUGUCACACUGAAUCCCCUAAAUCCUUCAAUUCGUGGGUAUUCUAUCUUGUUGCAUCAUGAACUAAAGAAUCCCUUAUUCAAAUGGCAAUGAUCAGUGAGGAAACAUGUUCAUAUGUGCUACAAGAAUAUGCUAGCAGUGGGCAAGUGUUCCAAGGUUCUGAGAGUGCAUUGCAUGAUUUUGUUUGAACUGCUGAUUCAGUAUUCGUAUAUAUAAAGGUAGAUUUAAUCCCCUUAAGGUUUAUUCAUUGUUCUGGUACAAUCUUGCAUGUAUGGGCGGAGGAUUUUGUUUUCUCUCAUUAGAUCAUGGAUAUCCAUCACUAGACCUAGGAUGGAGUUCAUGUUUCAGUGCUCACCCACACCACCGUUUUUGUGUUUUAUACUGUUCAGUGUGGCCUGUAUGAAUAUGGAGAAGAGGAAUACGAUCCGUGACAGAUAAGGCCUGGUUUAAUGGUAACUAUUUUGUGAUUUUGAUAGAUGAAUGUAAUGGUUGCUGUCACAUGGACCAUUGCUUCUUCUUGUUGUUCUAUAUUUCCAGGUAGUGUAAUUUGUUUGUCAUGUUCUUUAUGUCUGAAUGUGUGCACGAAAUGCCCUUCUUGUAUAUAGUUGAUGACAUGGUGAAAUACAUGAUCUAUAUCUAUUCGUGUUUCCUUUUUGUCUAGCUUACUAAUGUGUUUAAGAAUUUACAUGUUCACAUUCUUCUAGCAUUUGUUGUCGUUUUCAUAGGCCUCGUAUCAUCAAUAAUUCAGGGCAUUGAAGCACCAUCACGUUUAAGAUCACAUAGGGACGUGUCUGACUCUGCCUAUUCCAAUGUCGAGAGCCGCGAGCAAAUCAGCACAUCAAGUGACAAAGGCUAAGCAACGCUAAUUGCAGUGAUGCAGUACAUGGCUCAGUUUUUUGAGUGGUGAAGAAGCUAGGACAUAUCAGUCAUGACAGAUCAAGAAAUGAGAGAGAGAGGCUAAAUGAUCAAGACAGAUGCUGAGAAGAGGUAGUGAAAAGGAGAAGGGAUGUGAGCUGGCAUGAGAGUGUAUGAGAUCCAAGAGUUUGCCCAUCUGCUACUGCCUUCAUUUUGAUAAAG